AUUGGUUUAGAGGCUGAUGUAUUAUUGGCAGGAUGUAUGAGAUCUGAAGAUAUAAGAUUAAAUGUAGAAGUAUAUUUAGCCUCAGAUACAGGCUGUGCUGCAUAUGGUCUGAGCUACUUCUUAUAGUGGUAUUAGGUAGGUGGUAGGUGCUAUUUUGGCUGGUGAAGUUCUGUCUACUCUGCCCCUGUCAGGAGACAUGGCCUCAGAAGUCAUGAAGGUGGCUGCUCUGGGUCGACCUUUCACCUUAGGGAUGCUCUACAACGCCCAUAAAGACGAACUCCUCCCAGCAUCUUCCGAGCAUUUCCUCUGGACACAUAUCAUCGGCGGAGUCAAUGUGUUUGACUCAAACGGAAGCAAGUACACUGCAUCACAGCUCUGACGUCCGGACACCUGCUGACACAUAUGCAGAGCCCAGGCCAGCAUCAAAUAUAGCCCCGGAUCUCCCACUAUUCUAGAUCUGCCCCUGGUGAGAUGUAACCUGACCAGGUCCAGCGGCGACUGGCCUUCCUAGUUCCGGAGGGUGGGGUCUUCUAUGUGGCCUCAUGCAGCAGGAGGACGGAAACACUUUUGAGAGGAAUGGACAGAACACAACACCAGGACUAAACAGCAGACAGUCAUGAGCCCAGAUUACACUUAUUUUUCUGAAGAAAUUCCAUCUUUUAAAAAUGAUAUUUUAAUAAAUGUAAUCAUUCUCGUGAUUAACUUGUUCUUAUUUGCACUAAAAUAAAUGGAGAAAGUCUGGAGUUGUUGUUACUUGGGUUGUUAUUCUGUUAUAUUACUGGUCCGGCCCAGUUUAGACCAAAUUGGGCUGAAUGUUACCCCCAAAUUAAAAUGAGCUUGACAUCUCUGAUCUAAGGCAUCCGUUGGUGAAUCUUAGUGAAAGCUGCCUUUGCUGUUUCCUCUGCAACAUGGUUUGGAACCUGCCUCCACCUCAGAGCAACAACAUGUGACACUGUGAUAUUAAGCAUUUAGUGAUAUUUAAAAUUUAGUUGGAGCUUUUGUGGUUUGUCAGUAAGUUUUGCAGAAUAGAAUAGAAUAGAAUAGAAUAGAAUAGAAUAGACCUCAUUGUCAUUGUACAUGUUAUAGUGGAGCUGAUUGAUUCGAUGCAAUACAAGACAAAACAACCUGAAUGUUUGCAUUCAUUUUAAUUUUAAGCAUAUACUGUAUGGGGGACCAAUGUUACAUUCAUUCAUGACAUGAUUCAUGAUUAUUUUCAUAAAGGAAAACCUUAAUCAACAGAAAUUAAUGAUUAUAUUUAAAAUGAAAACAGCCCAAUAACAAAAAGAUUUAAAAAAAAUACGUAUAUAUAUAAAUAUACAUAUAUAUACACAUAUAUAUAUACAUACAGUGUUUUUGCAGUUUUCUGCUAUGAUUUUUGUAAAUGUAAAGUGUCUUUGAGUACCUUUUAAAAGCGCUUUAUGAAUAAAAUUUAUCAUCAUGUAUUAUCAUUAACAAUUUCAUGUCAUCACAUGCUUCUGUAUGGUUGCGAAUGAGAAAUAAGCGAUCCUGUAUAAACAAGCGUUUAAUGCCAACCC